rnacentral:rRNA from 1 species
AGAGUUUGAUCCUGGCUCAGGAUGAACGCUAGCGGCAGGCUUAACACAUGCAAGUCGAGGGGCAGCAUAAUGGAUAGCAAUAUCUAUGGUGGCGACCGGCGCACGGGUGCGUAACGCGUAUGCAACCUACCUUUAACAGGGGGAUAACACUGAGAAAUUGGUACUAAUACCCCAUAAUAUCAUAGAAGGCAUCUUUUAUGGUUGAAAAUUCCGAUGGUUAGAGAUGGGCAUGCGUUGUAUUAGCUAGUUGGUGAGGUAACGGCUCACCAAGGCAACGAUACAUAGGGGGACUGAGAGGUUAACCCCCCACACUGGUACUGAGACACGGACCAGACUCCUACGGGAGGCAGCAGUGAGGAAUAUUGGUCAAUGGACGCAAGUCUGAACCAGCCAUGCCGCGUGCAGGAAGACGGCUCUAUGAGUUGUAAACUGCUUUUGUACGAGGGUAAACGCAGAUACGUGUAUCUGUCUGAAAGUAUCGUACGAAUAAGGAUCGGCUAACUCCGUGCCAGCAGCCGCGGUAAUACGGAGGAUCCAAGCGUUAUCCGGAUUUAUUGGGUUUAAAGGGUGCGUAGGCGGUUUGAUAAGUUAGAGGUGAAAUUUCGGGGCUCAACCCUGAACGUGCCUCUAAUACUGUUGAGCUAGAGAGUAGUUGCGGUAGGCGGAAUGUAUGGUGUAGCGGUGAAAUGCUUAGAGAUCAUACAGAACACCGAUUGCGAAGGCAGCUUACCAAACUAUAUCUGACGUUGAGGCACGAAAGCGUGGGGAGCAAACAGGAUUAGAUACCCUGGUAGUCCACGCAGUAAACGAUGAUAACUCGUUGUCGGCGAUACACAGUCGGUGACUAAGCGAAAGCGAUAAGUUAUCCACCUGGGGAGUACGUUCGCAAGAAUGAAACUCAAAGGAAUUGACGGGGGCCCGCACAAGCGGAGGAACAUGUG